UUUAGUUUUUAAAGUUAACAAAUAAUUUUUAAUAAUAAAUUUAGGAUUUAGGUUUAAAGUUUAGUUUCCAAGAUUUAUAUAUAUAUAUAUAUAUACUAACCAAUUAAACUAUGUAAACUAUUUAACGAAAUAUCACUUUUUCUAACGUUUUAACACACAUAUACAUACACCUAUUCUUCAAGCACAUUAGCAUUGUGAUAGUUUUAUAGAUAUGCAAUUCUUUGCACAUAAUCUAUGUAUUAAAUGACAAGUUUCGAAUAUAAGUACUCUGCUUUUCAAUAACACAGUCACACAGAAGAGCCUUUUGACUUAUUUCGAUCUCUCACUUUAGACCAAUGUCGAAUCUGUUUCUCUUCCAACAUCGUACAUGGCUAAUGGUGCUAGUAUAUUCUUCAAAACUCAGAUCAAGAAGAGGAUAUACGCCCCGCCUAUUCCAGCAAACGUGGCGAGAGACUACGAGCUUACUUACGCUUGGUUAAAGCAUCAAUUACAUUGAUGAAUAAGGACAUCGAUUGUAUCUCAAACCUUCGAUAAUAUCUUAAUCGAAUUUAAACUGUCAAAAUAAAAUCGAAUUUGAACGAGGAUUAGGAUAUAUAUUAUAAAACAAAAAUAUGUUAAAUCAAUUAUGUUUCCAAAUAAUAUUUUCACUCGAUUAAACAUUUUUCCAAGCAACAUAAUUUAAUUCAUCAUGAUCUUGUUUCCUUUAACUAUACCAUUUGUUGAGAGAUGAUCCUUUGAGUGAUUAUGCAAACGGAAAAGAAGAGAAGAAGAAGCUUAAGAUAAUGAAGAACUAAGGAGAAGGAGGAAGAUGUGUCGAAGAGGAAGAUGAGACAGAGCAAGUCAACCAGAGAGAAAAGUCAACUGUGAAACUAAGAUGGACCUCGUGUGAGAAGAAGAUGGGCUUCAAAUGUGCCUCAGCCCAAGAAGAAAUAUCGAGUAUGUGUGAGUCUAAGUCUAAAUUCUAGUAGCAAUGUAGUUGCAAUAGUUGAGUAAGACCCUAAGAUGAUUAGUUAAAGUCUAUUAAGAGUAGUGUGGCUAAUGUAUGAUUACCUAAGUGUCAGGGUAAGGUGAGUGAAGUAAGGAGAGUUAGUAUAACUGGUAGAAAAGGACUAUAUGUAUGAGCAAGUAUAAGUGAGAAGAUAUGUAGAAGAAAACUGUAUGAAAAAUGAGAUGAAUGAGAAUGAGUGUUAAAGAAAAACAAGUAAUCAAAAGAAAGAAAACAAAUAUGUGAGAGCAAAGAGAGAAUCACAACAUGGUAUCAGAGCCAGGUUGUCCUUGGAGCCUGUUGAAGAAAAGCACAAGAAGAAGAAAUCAAAAGAAAAGGAAGAUAAGAAAGAAAGUGAAGUUCAAGAUGGCAAUAAACCUGCAGUCUUCUCAACUUGUUGCAGUGUUCGAUGGACAGAACUAUGAGUUAUGGGCAGCAAGAAUGAAGACAACAUUGAUGAACAAGGAGCUCUGGGAUGUGGUCAAAGAAGGACUUCCAGACCAGUCAUUGAAGUCACCUGAAACUCCAAGAGCUGACCAGACAAAGGAAGUUGCAAACCUUUGGACACUCAAGAGCAAAGACACAGCUGCACUUCAAAUCAUUCAACAUGCUGUAGCUGAUGUCAUAUUUGACAAAAUACUCUCAGCGACAACAGCAAAACAAGCAUGGGAUCUUCUGGAACAUUCUUAUCAAGGUAAUGAGAAGGUUAAAACUGUUAGGCUGCAAUCUUUAAGAAGAGAUUUUGAGAAUUUAAAAAUGAAGGAAGGAGAAAAAGUUAAGACAUACUCUGAUAGGAUUCAGGCUGUAGCAAACCAAAUGAGAUCUCUAGGAGAAGGAAAAUCUAACUUUGAUCUAGUGGUUAAGAUGCUGGCGUCCAUGCCAAAAAGCUAUGCUUCUUUAUCAUCAUUGAUGGAAGAAACAAAGGAUCUAAGAACAAUUACCUAUGUGGAGCUGAUCGGAUCUUUGGAAGCUCAUGAGAAGAAGUUUUUCCCAGAUGGUGAAGAUGAAGAUGCUGAAGGUGCCUUCCAUGCUCUCUACAAGAACCUGAAUCUGGAAAACAGUGACAAAGGAAACACAAGUCAGAUUAGCUAUAGAGAAAAGAGGUGGUGUGGUUACUGCAAGAAGGAUAACCACAAUGAAGAUUUGUGCUACUUCAAAAAUGGAGGAAACACGCUAGACUUCAACAGAAACAGAGAUACAAGGAGUUGUUUCAAUUGUUGCAAACUGGGUCACAUCUCAAGAAACUGCAGAAACAAGAGACCUGAACAAGCACAAGCAACUCAAGAAGAAAAUGAAGAAAAGGAAGAGUACCAUAUGUUUUCAGCAAGACAAGAUGAUCAAAAACCUGUUGAAGAAAACAUUUGGCUCAUUGAUAGUGGUUGUACAAACCACAUGACUCCAAAUGAGAAGCUGUUCACGAGACUUGACACAAGUUUCAAAGUUCCAAUCCAAGUUGGUGAUGGAACGACACUGAUGACCAAAGGAAGAGGAGACAUUGAAGUCAUGACAAAAAAGGGCAAGAGAAUCAUUGGAAUGUUUUUCUAGUCCCUAAAAUUGCUAAGAAUCUUCUAAGUGUCUCUCAGAUGAUUGCAAAUGGAUAUGCAGUUACCUUUAAGCAAAGAAGCUGCAUCAUCCAUGAUAAAUAUGGGAGAAAAAUAACUGAAGUGAAAAUGGCAAAGAAGAGCUUUCAUCUCCAUUUGCCCUUGAGUGAAGAAAUAGUAAAUGCAAUGUCAAAGGAAGAGGCUGAAUCUAGUUAUCAAGGAGCUGGAUAUGCUGAAAUCAGAAACCCAGAAAAGUAUGAACCAUGGAAGAGCGUGCAGUAUCAUAAGAAGAAGCUGACGCUCAAUGUUGAGAAUCAAAGCUACAUCAAGUCAGACAAGAGAGAAUCUGAAGUUAAGAAAGUCAAGGAAGUGGUUCAAGGAACCAAACUGAACAGGAUGGUGAUCAAAAGUGAUACAAAUUAACAAAAAGAAGAUUUAUCUUUGAAGGAGAAAGAGCAGAAGCUGACUGACGAGAUGAUCGGCCGAAACGCAAAGAGAAGCAUCAGAAUAAACAAAGAAGAGACCCAAGAGAGAAUUAAGAGGAUCCAAGAGGAAAAGAACAGAGAAUUCAAGUGUCAGAACACAGAGACAUCGGACAGGAAUGAAGCAAGUCUCAAAUUGAAGCAAGAAAUUCAAAGCCAAAGCAGAAGGGAGGUAAGAGAAUUACCUGUUAGAGAAAAACCCAGAAGCGCUAAGAAGGAUGCAGGGAGCAGAGACUCUUCAACUAAGAACCUACAGAAAGAGGAGAAGCAGAAAUCAAUUGAACUCAAAGAGAAAAUGAUUCAAGUGGGAGCUGAGAAGUAUGAAAAAGAAGAGGAAGCUGAACCCACGAAAAUUCAGAGCAAGAGGGAGAUUGGGAAAUAAAACUCACCCAAGAGCUAUGCAGACGUCUUGAUGAGUGCUCCUCAAACCAGCAAAGGAACAAGUAGAGAAGAAUCAAAGGUACCAAAGUUCAAAACCCUAAAUUGGAAUUGGGGAAUCAACUCAAAGGCUCAAGAGGGAGUGUUGAGAGAUGAUCCUUUGAGUGAUUCUGCAAACGGAAAAGAAGAGAAGAAGAAGCUUAAGAUAAUGAAGAACUAAGGAGAAGGAGGAAGAUGUGUCGAAGAGGAAGAUGAGACAGAGCAAGUCAACCAGAGAGAAAAGUCAACUGUGAAACUAAGAUGGGCCUCGUGUGAGAGGAAGAUGGGCUUCAAAUGUGCCUCAGCCCAAGAAGAAAUAUCGAGUAUGUGUGAGUCUAAGUCUAAGUUCUAGUAGCAAUAGUAGUUGCAAUAGUUGAGUAAGACCCUAAGAUGAUUAGUUAAAGUCUAUUAAGAGUAGUGUGGUUAAUGUAUGAUUAC
rnacentral:lncRNA from 1 species